rnacentral:SRP_RNA from 1 species
CAUUGGGCCUGGGCUUGUGUUGUAAUAUUGCUGGCCUGCCCAUUCCAAGUUGGUAGUGGGCUGGGGGCUGUUGCGAAAGCUACGGCCUCUCUGUCCCUGAAGUGGCCGCGUUAGGCUGGUCUCACGGAGCAGCGCUCACUGUCCGCUCCUAACGGUGGAAGGAUAACAGGCCGCUGCUGGGCCCGCUCUGGCUCAAAG